CAAACUCUGAAACCCUAGUUAAUUCAAAUUCAAAGUCUGAAACUUGCGCCUCCUUCCCCCAACGCCUCUUUCUCUCAAAUCUCCCUUCUCUCUCGCCUCUGCCGGAAACGGCUGCCACUGCCGGCCCGCCGGCCAUCUCUCCCUGCUUCCCUUCUCUCCUUUCCUCUCUUCUCACUCUCCCUCUCGGUCUCCCUCUCCGCCAGCACCGCCGCCGGCUGGAAACUGCCGCUGCUGUCGUCGGGCUGCCGCCGUCGCUGCGCCGGCCGCCGUCGCCGUCGUCGUUCGUGAGAAAUUAAGAGGGGUUGAAAAGGAGCCAAGAAGUGUCGUGUUUGCCGUAUUUCGCCACCACCGCCGGCUGCCGUCGCCGCCGCCGACCCGGCGCUGCUGCUGUUGCUGACAGAGGACAGAAACUCCAGCCAGGGACAUGGUUUGGGAGAAAAAGUGGGCAUUCGAGACUAAAGAGUGGCUAUCCGAAAAGUGCCAUAAUGCCUAUUGCAAAGUGUUGGAUACAGAGGGUUAUAUAUAUAUAUAUAUAUAUAUAUAUAUAUAUAUAUUCACAUGUAUAGCUAGUGUAUUACUCAUGCCGCAAGGCAAGCAAUUUUCCCAACUUCUUGCACCUACUUGUUCGAGCAAUUUUCCUUUCUCCCAUCUUGGAGCUUGGGAAGGGGUGGACUGCAGAAGCAACUAGCUUCCUAUAUUGGACUCCCGGCCCUGAUGAAUAAAAUGAGUAGGGAAUGAGCUUCAUAAAAGGGAAUUUUAAUGCCAGAAAAGGAAGGUAGGAAGGUAAGACUGAUCUUGCAAAGAUGAUAGGAAAGAAAGAUGGCAUGGCAAUAUAUUUUUAAAGAAAACAAUUUAAUCGAUCAAUCAAAAUUGAAUGUUGGAAAGUUUCGAAGAUGAUCUAAAUUGACAGAGUACUACGUUUUUUUAUUCUGAUAAAGAUACACUGGUAGAUGUUUGCUUUCAGCAUUUUGGUAUGUGAGAAGGUACCAGGUUUCUAGCAGGCCGGAAAUCCGAGCUAUUAUUGUAGUCGUCAAAUCUUGGUCUUUGAGGAUUCUGGUAACUCUACUUCUCAUCUUUUUCGGGUGUCAUUCAAACCUGUAUAUACUCAACUUGUGAUGUUUCCUACUUAUACAUGAGUGCCUAACUGCUAUUUAUUCUCAUUCAUGCCUGAUAUGUUGAUUUUAUAGAGGACUUACAUGUUUUUUUGUAAUUGACAUGUUAUGAUUAAGAGUAAAUUUCCGAGAGGUUGUCUGCCAUGGCUCUCUAAUAUGUGCUUCUCCCUAGUUUUUCAUGAUUUCAUACACAUCACCAAUUGAUAAACAAUGGAUAUUAGCUUCUUAAAUAUCCAAAAAUUGCCCUAGUACUAUGCUACUCUGUACUGAGGACGAAAUGCUUCCAUGAACAGAGUUUCACCACUUGCUAUUUGUGUAUGCAUGCAAGAUUUUCUCUCUAUUGAUUGUCACUACUUUCACCACUUUUUUAUGGGUUAUUAGUGUAGGCUUCAUUUCUCUCUCGGGUUGAUCUGAAAACUUGUUGCUUACUAACUUCUGGAGAACUAGGUUUCUCGUGCUUCAAUAAAGUGACAAUAGUGUUCUUUGGUGCCCGAUUUCUUGAGCUAAGGAGAGAGAACUAUUCCGGUUUUGAAAAAUUAAUUGAAAAAGCCAUAGGGCCGAUCGAAUGGAUGAGAGCUUUAUGAGUUGCAAUCUUGUUGAUAUUGGUGCAUAAAAAUGAUUUAGGCAAUAGGACAAAAAGCCUCAUAUCCAAAUUAUCACAUGCCUAACCCUACAUAAACCCCUAGUGAGCCAUUUUGAGCCCCAAAAACCUAAUUUCUUUGUUUAAAAAUUUUGAAGUCACUAUAUUAGCCAUACUUAUUAUAUCCAUUUGUCGGCCUAUAUUUUCUACCAUAGUCACUAAAAUUAAAAUGCUAGCACAUUCUUGGGAGGGUUUUAAUGGUGGCAAGGAAAAGAUGGAAGUCCUGUAACAUUCUUGGGAGGGUACUUAUAGUGGCAAGAAAAAGAUGGAAGUCCUGGAACAUUCAUCAGGUGGUAUUCAUUUAUACUGAGAUACAAAGUGAAAAAGCUUCGUCUUCAAACAAAAAUAAAAUAAAAAGGCAGCCUUUAAAGUGUAAAAAAAAUCCAAGGCUAGAAAAAAAAGACAGCCUUUCAUGUGUAAGAAAAAGCCAAGGCCAGAAAAGUAAAAGGCAACCUUUCAUGUGUAAAAAAAAGCCAAGGCUAGAAAAGUAAAAGGCAGCCUUUCAUGUGUUAAAAAAAGCCAAGGCUAGUAAAAAAUAAAAAUAAAAGGCAGCCUUUCAUGUGUAAAAAAAAGCCAAAGGCUAGAAAAAAAGUGAAAAAUAGAAAUCUGCUCAAAAGAAUAUGAUGACUUUGUUUAGAUGGUAGAAAAAUUCGAGUUUUAGGUGUUGAGAUGUCAGAAUUUCGCACGCAUUGAGUGAGAUGUGAAGGAUGUUGUGAAGGAUGCUAUGAUGGAUGUGCUAGUAUUUUAAGAAGGUGAUAAGCUACUUAACCAAAUAUGAUCACACCUUUACCAAAAGCCCCAUUACAUCCAAAUGAAUAAGACCUUUUGAUUUAUGCAUCAUACUGACUUGUGAGCGAUGAAUUUUGCUUGAGUUUGGGAGAAAGAUCUUAUGUGCUUAAAAGAAAGAAUAGCCGGAAGAUAUUCUCUUUAUGAAUUAGUGACGAUGGUUUGAGACUCCCAAGACAUAAAUCGAACUUACAUUGAAGUAUUGGGAUGCCUAGCUCUUAGGGAAUUAGUUCGUGUACAAUUCUUGUUCUAAAGUCUUACCCGCGAGUGAAUUCGGGGUCAACCUAAUUUCUCUAAAUGAUUUGUGUGAUUUGACGUGACUUGAAGUAGAGGAUUAUCUAAUGUCUUGUGAAUGUGCUUAUUUGUCUAACUUGACUUGAAGUAGAGCAAGACUUAUGUUUUGGCGUAUUUGAUGUGUGUGGGUAAUUGUUUAACUUGUUAUUAUACAAUGGAUGGAAUGGAGGGUAGCGUACUAUUGCUCCAGUUCAAUUUUGACCAUCUCACUAUUUAUUCCAGUGAGUUGAAGGGUAUAAAGCUGCAACCAAUAUUUGCUUCAAUAGUCAAACAUUUAUUUUUAUAAACCUAAAUCUUUCUGAUGCUCUACACUUGUCGGUACCUGAUAAAAUUGGGGUUGUACUUGCUUUGUCUAUUUCUGAAGAACACGAUAUAUUCACUAUGCCUGGAUGUGUGGUUAGUUAUUCUCUUCUUUGUACAUACAUUUAGAUAUAAUUUUUUGUUUAGUUGUAGGAAGUGGAAUACAUACAACAGCUUAUAAUUUUUACCUCCUUGGAAUUCUUCUACAUGUUGCACUAAACCUGUAACCCUUUUCUUGGUUGUAUGCAGGAAAGACUUUGUGUUUGAGUCAGAUCACAGAGCAAUCAUGCUGCGUUUGAGGCUAUUGAGAUAAUUCAGCAUAUUCUUGUAUUACUCGUAGUCGAUUUGAAGGCCUCUCUAAGCAUUUAGAUUCAUUCUUGCAAAUGUUAUCUCUUGUGCAACUAAGGUGUUUUCCGUGAAAGUUCCUAUGCAUAAAUAGACUAGAAAGUACUUAGUCGAUCUAAAGGUCGAGGGUGGUAGGGGGCGACUGAGUUCUUAACAUAAAAGAAACGGGUGGAAAGGAUGGAAAACUGAAGGCACAAGUCUAUUUAUUGAUUUUUGAGCUUGCUUUGCUUGAUCUUUUGCUUCUUGGUUGUUGCACCUAUAUUUUUCUGCUUAUUUAAUUGAUUCUUUGCUGCAUUUUUGCAGAUUUAUAAUUAAUCUGUUAAAUAUAUUAUAGUUUUGUAAGUUAUACUGAGGCUGACGUUUUUCUUCUUUUUCUAAUCCACUGUUUGCUGUCUUGCUGCUCUAUAAAUAAUACAUGCAUAGUAUCCUAUUUUUCUUUAUCUCAUAUGCCUGCACAAAUAUGUGUUAUAUUAGUGUUUCUUUGAUAUAUAAACCCCCAUUGAUUGUCAAAUCUUGGCAUCUUAAUAUAUGUUUUUACAGGCUCUUUCCCAAGUACUUACUAGACACAUUUCCUUUUUACUUUGGCAUUAGGUUUGCUGAACUUGCAUCUAAAAAGAAAUCAUGGGCCUUGGAAGCUGGUUGAGCUCUCAAUUGAGUCUAUAACAAAUGUAUAUAGUAUUUUACCGUACAUGCAAUAUCUACACUUUGAGAAGAUUUUGCCUUUUAUACAUAUGCAGUUUUCAAUUUCUCAUUUGUUUUGCCUACUGUUAACAUGGGCAUUUGUUUUGUAUAGUUUCUUGCAUUGCUGAAAAAAUGUUUGGUAUAGAUUCAAGAGAGUUAAAUGCUCCCACCGAGGCAAGUUACCCGAAGGGCCAACUGGAACGUAAUACAAAGCGCUUGGCAGAUGUCGUCUCAGAUGCUUCAAAUUUUCGGAUCGGUCAUUAAGCAUCAACGUGUGACUCACCUUACCUUACGCUGGGUAUUGCUUUACGAGCUGAUUUAGAUGCUUUGAGGAAGCUUGCAUAUUGGGAAGCUUGUCCCUUCCUCGGUUAUCAGUUAAUGUUAUUAUUGUGAGUUUUAGCUACCUCGGUUAUCAGUUAAUGUUAUUAUAUUAUGAGUUUUAGCUACCUCGGUUAUCAGUUAAUGUUAUUAUUGUGAGUUUUAGUCUUACUUCGGAUUUAUGACAUUAUGAUGUUUUCCUUUGGGGGUAAGGCAUUGGAGCAGUUUGUGGACCGUCUCAUUGAGUAUUACUGCUCCAGUUUAGUUUUGACCACCUCAAUAUAUUCAAACAUUUAUUUAUUAAACCUAACCUUAGUUCGAUAUUAAGUGUGUCAUUCAUACUAAAGCUGAAGAACUACUGCACAAUCUUUCUGAUGCUUUACACUUGUCGAUACCCAAUAAAAUUGGAGUUGGUCUUGCUUUGUCUCAUUCUGAAGAACACGAUAUCUUCACGAUACCAGGAUGUGUGGUUAGUUAUUCUCUUCUUUGUACAUACAUUUAGAUAUAAUUUUUGUUUAACAUAUUCUGUUGUGUGCCAAUUCUGUUGCGUUUGAGGCUUCUGAUGUAAUUAACAUAUUCUUGUGUCACUCUUAGUCGAUUUGAAGGCCUCUCUAAGCAUUUGGAUUCAUUCUAUUUGAAGGCCUCUCUAAGCAUUUAGAUUCAUUCUUUCCAAUGUUAUCUCUUGUGCGACUAAGGUGUUUUCUAUUAUAGUUCGUAGUGCAUAAAUAGAGUAGAAUAUACUUAGUCGAUCUGAAGGUCGGGGGUGGUAGGUGGCAACUGAGUUUUUAACUUAUAAGAAACGGGGGAAGGUGUGGAAAAUAGAAGGCACAAGUCUAUUUAUUGGUUUUUGAGCUUGCUUUGCUUGGUCUUCUGCUUCCUAGUUGUUGCGCCUAUAUUUUUCUACUUAUUUUAUUCAUUCUUUGCUGUCUUUUGCAGCUAUAUAAUUAAAUUGUUACAUAUAUUAAAUUUUUGUUUGUUAUACUGUGCUUGACGUUUUUCAUCUUUUUCUAAUCCAAUUUUUGCUACCUUGCAGCAUAAUUAAUUAAUAUUCUCAUAUGCCGUGUACAAAUAUGUGCAAUAUUAGUGUUUCUUAGAUUUACAGGCUCUUUCCCAAGUAAAGUUACUUACUAGACACAUUUCCUUUUUACUUUGGCAUUAAGUUUGCUGUACUUGCAUCUAAAAAAGAAAUCAUGGGCCUUGGAAGCUGGUGGAGCAAUCAAUGAGUGUCAGUAAAGAUACUUUCUAUAAGGUUAGUGUUGCCACUACUGUGGCAGGGUGACUGAUCUUUCUCAUGAUUUUAAUAUUUUUGCAAUGCCGGAAUGGAAACUGCAGCUUGUUGCUACUAUGUAGUAAAUACUUAAAUUACAAUGGAUGGAAUCUAGACUACUUCGAUUUCUAUAUAUUUGGUCAAGUUCCGCAACAAUUUAAUUUGACUUAACAUCUCUUAUAUGCCAGUUAAGUAGUUUUAUACAUAGUCUACUAUAUUUGAGUUUGUUAUCUUUACAUGUCCGUUAGGUGAUUAUGCAACAAAUUUUGGUUUACAGAAGAACAUAUUAGUAGUGUUGUAAAAUACUAUUCAACCUAACAAUGUUAGUUCUAAUGUUACCCUGUUCUAAAAAAUUUUGGUUUGCCUAUAAUGCUCAUCCUUUGUGAAUGCUUAUGCUUCAGGAUCAGUCAUUAAGCAUCAAUGUGUGACUCACCUUACGUGGGGUAUUGCUUUACGAGCUGUUUUAGAUGCUUUGAGGAAGCCUGCAGAUUCAGAAGUUUGUUCCUUCCUAGUUUAUCAGUUAAUGUUAUUAUUGUGAAUUUCAGUCUUACCUUGAAUUUAUGACAUUCUGAUGUUUUCCUUUGGGAGUAUGGCAUUGGAGCAGUUUGUGGACCAUCUCAUUGAGUGGCCACAGUAUGCCAUCAUAUCCUGCACUGAGUAGCAUUUAUAGAUGGGGCACUCAACAGUAUUUCCGCGGCUUAUACUGAACCUGAUGUUGGCCAUACUGCCAAUACUGGUUGUGGAUAAUACUUCUACUCCAAGUGAUUUGUGUGAACUCAUGAUCACUGCAAAUUUGUCCUUCUGGUUUCAGAUUGCAGGCCCACCAUUUUCUCUGAUCGGACCCAACAGCAAUUAUCUGGAUUAUCAAUUCCCUCUUCGAUCCCACUGCAACAUAGACCACCAAGUUCUCUGAGUUCACUCCUAAUUACAUGAAGCCAUCAUAACACACCUACCCUUCCUAAGGUAGGUAAUAGUGUCUUUGUCUACUAAUCUACUCAAAAACCUACAAUGCAGUCACUCAGUGCUGCUUUGCUGUCAAUACAAUCUGCCUCGUCGGAUUUCCGUGGGCUUCUAGAUCAACCUCAGCAAGCAAGUAAAUAAUCAGGUUUAACUGUGCUACUCUCUCUCACUGUGCGCUUUAUGGAUUACAUUAACAUGGGGACUGGUUUUACAACUAUGAGAAGAGAAACUCCCAUAGAGGUGAUUGGAUGUAGCUAUCUUAUCAUUUUUAAUUCUCUGUUUACACUUUGUCUUGAUCCUUAUGGUUUUCCCAUGCUUUUACUUUGAGGAUUUUCUUCCUUGUUAUGAGUUAGCAAUUAAAAGUUCUAUUAAUAGCACAUUUAACUUUAUCCCACUGGUUAACUAAAAUCUCACACUUCUAAAUUCUUUCUUAACUCCCGACUACUUUCUCGUUUUCCUUUUCCCCUUUAGUUUCCUUAUUAUUUGUUUUCUUCCCUGUGCAAUGGAGCCGUUCUGAUUCUGGUUCAGGCCAUCAUGAACUUAAAGUUAUCGUGCUCAGACAAUAUUUCCUCAUACAUGGCUGUUAUCUCCUGCCUAAAAUCUAAAGCUUUAUCUAUUUGUGAUUUUUUCUGUUGCAGCUUAUGCAACUCUGUGAAGCUGAAAGUGUAUCAUACCCGGAUGACGUGGCCAGCAACACAGCAACUCAGGAUAUGGCAAAGUCAGCUGGGGACUCGAGGUUCUUGCAUUGCUGAAAAAAGCUUGGUAUAGAUUCAAGACAGUUAAAUGCUCCCUCCGAGGCAAGUUACCGAACGGGCAAUGGAGCUUAAGACAAAGCUCUUGGCAGAUGCCGUCUCAAAUGAUUCAAAUUAUCAGUCAUUCAUCAUGAAUUGUGUUUAUUCUGUUUGUAUUUUGUGUAUGUAUUUUGUGUAUUGUGUAGUGUUUUUUUGUAUGCAUGUGUAGAGUGUGUUUGUGUAGCGUAGGUAUUUUUGUGUAUAGUGUAUGUAGUGCAGUGUGUUUUGUUGUGUGCGGACACUACGUCUAUUUUGUGUACAGUGUGUGAAUUUUA